AGGAAGCGUGUUGGGCUCAUAACCCAAAGGUCGUUGGAUCGAGACCAACAAGUGCUA
rnacentral:tRNA from 1 species